AAAUUCGUAUAUAAUUGAAUUGAUGACGUCACGUAUCUUAGCAACGAAUCAAGCUUCUUGUUGUUUGGUUAGUCAUCUGCCAUUUUGGUAAACAAACUUAAUUUGUUUUGUAACCUUAUGAGAAAAGAAAGUUGCGUGAUGUAAUGUGGUCCACGUUGACGGGUAAAAUAGGAUAGGUUGAAAUGAGAAAAAUAUAUUUUUAUUUAUCAAUUUGUUCAUCCAUGAUGUGUUAUGGAUAAUAUAUGUAUGGAGUCAUUUAUCAACAGAACCAUCAUUUAAUUAUUGCUAUCAAUACAGCCAUGGAAAAUUCAGUUUCUUGCAAGCAAUCUUGGAAGUUGAAUAAG